GAUGAAUGCUGGCGGCGCGCCUAACACAUGCAAGUCGAGCGGAAAGGCCCUUCGGGGUACUCGAGCGGCGGACGGCUGAGUAACGCGUGGGAACAUGCCCCAAAGUGAGGAAUAACUGCCCGAAAGGGUAGCUAAUGCCGCAUAUGAUCUUCGGAUUAAAGGAUUUAUCCGCUUUGGGAGUGGCCCGCGUACGAUUAGGUAGUUGGUGAGGUAAAGGCUCACCAAGCCUACGAUCGUUAACCGGUCUGAGAGGAUGAUCAGUCAGACUGGAACUGAGACACGGUCCAGACUCCUACGGGAGGCAGCAGUGAUGAAUCUUCCACAAUGGGCGAAAGCCUGAUGGAGCGACGCCGCGUGCAGGAUGAAGGCCUUCGGGUUGUAAACUGCUUUUAUAAGUGAAGAAUAUGACGGUAACUUAUGAAUAAGCACCGGCUAACUACGUGCCAGCCGCCGCGGUA
rnacentral:rRNA from 1 species